rnacentral:rRNA from 1 species
UACGGAGGGUGCAAGCGUUAUCCGGAUUUACUGGGUUUAAAGGGUGCGUAGGUGGGUCUGUAAGUCAGUGGUGAAAUCUCCGGGCUUAACCCGGAAACUGCCAUUGAUACUAUAGGUCUUGAAUUAUCUGGAGGUGAGCGGAAUAUGUCAUGUAGCGGUGAAAUGCUUAGAUAUGACAUAGAACACCAAUUGCGAAGGCAGCUCACUACGGAUAUAUUGACACUGAGGCACGAAAGCGUGGGGAGCAAACAGG